rnacentral:rRNA from 1 species
GACGAACGCUGGCGGCGUGCCUAAUACAUGCAAGUAGAACGCACAGUUUAUACCGUAGCUUGCUACACCAUAGACUGUGAGUUGCGAACGGGUGAGUAACGCGUAGGUAACCUGCCUGGUAGCGGGGGAUAACUAUUGGAAACGAUAGCUAAUACCGCAUAAUAUUAAUUAUUGCAUGAUAAUUGAUUGAAAGGUGCAAUUGCACCACUACCAGAUGGACCUGCGUUGUAUUAGCUAGUAGGUGAGGUAACGGCUCACCUAGGCGACGAUACAUAGCCGACCUGAGAGGGUGAUCGGCCACACUGGGACUGAGACACGGCCCAGACUCCUACGGGAGGCAGCAGUAGGGAAUCUUCGGCAAUGGACGAAAGUCUGACCGAGCAACGCCGCGUGAGUGAAGAAGGUUUUCGGAUCGUAAAGCUCUGUUGUAAGAGAAGAACGGGUGUGAGAGUGGAAAGUUCACACUGU